rnacentral:rRNA from 1 species
CCUACGGGUGGCAGCAGUGAGGAAUAUUGGUCAAUGGACGCAAGUCUGAACCAGCCAUGCCGCGUGCAGGAAGACGGCUCUAUGAGUUGUAAACUGCUUUUGUACGAGGGUAAACGCAGAUACGCGUAUCUGUCUGAAAGUAUCGUACGAAUAAGGAUCGGCUAACUCCGUGCCAGCAGCCGCGGUAAUACGGAGGAUUCAAGCGUUAUCCGGAUUUAUUGGGGUUAAAGGGUGCGUAGGCGGUCGGAUAAGUUAGAGGUGAAAUCCCGGGGCUCAACUUCGGAAUUGCCGCUGAUACUGUUCGGCUUGAGAGGAGGAGCGGUAGGCGGAAUGUGUGGUGUAGCGGUGAAAUGCUUAGAGAUCAGACAGAACACCGAUUGCGAAGGCAGCUUACCAAGCUACUUCUGACGUUGAGGCACGAAAGCGUGGGGAGCAAACAGGAUUAGAUACCCGUGUAGUC